rnacentral:rRNA from 1 species
UACGUAGGGUGCAAGCGUUAAUCGGAAUUACUGGGCGUAAAGCGUGCGCAGGCGGUUUUGUAAGUCUGUCGUGAAAUCCCCGGGCUCAACCUGGGAAUUGCGAUGGAGACUGCAAGGCUAGAAUCUGGCAGAGGGGGGUAGAAUUCCACGUGUAGCAGUGAAAUGCGUAGAGAUGUGGAGGAACACCGAUGGCGAAGGCAGCCCCCUGGGAUGUGACUGACGCUGAGACGCGAAAGCGUGGGGAGCAAACAGG